GAAGGAGGGAGAGAAGGAGAAAGAAGGAGAGGAAGAGAUUUUAGAUAAAUGGAAAUUAAGGGAAUUCAUUGCCAGAAGACCUGCACUAAGAAAUGCUACCAGAUGGGAACUUGGAUCUUCAGGAAGGAAACCAGUGCUUUGGAAAGAGUAAAUAUAAUAUAACGGUUUGUACAUUCUUCAAGGCUGAUUAUGUUCAUCUUCUAGAGGAUCCUUCUGACUCCUCCAGCUCCAGUUUUUCUCCUCCUAAACAUUUGAAGAGUUUGGAAGUUGAUGUCCUUUGUCCCUCCUCCACCACAACAAUCCAACUGCUUCUCCCCUGGAGAUGAGUGGGUCCUACAGCUAGCAGGCAAGCUGAACCUGGAGGAUGGGAGCAUGGCCUUGGUCUGAGCUGGGCUGGAUGGAGAAAUCUGGCAGCUGGCAUAGGACUUCUGCCCUCUAGACUGAAUCAGAGCCUGGAGCCUGCUGCAAAGAGCCCUAGGACUAGUAUCAAAUGACCUAGAGGACCUUUGAAGGGAGGGAAAUGGCACUAGCACAGGAUGCAGAGACAACUUGCUCUUUCCCCAGACAACUCCAGCAAAUCCCACCUGACAUCUCAGCCCAAUCACAGGUAAGUGGCAUGGUUGGCUUUGAUGAAUCAUCUGAGGAGUGACCGUUAGAAACCAGCUACAAUGUCCACUGGAGUUCCACCUCAUGUCCCCGGUUGGCGAGUGAGGAAAUCCAGCACGAACACUCCUGGAAUGCCCACCAGCAAUAAAACUCAUCACCAACAGAAAAAUGAACCGUUUGGAUAAGGGUGAUGUUCUGAAGCUUGACUGUAGUUCAUCUUGAGUAGUUACUUGUUUGUCAAAAGACCUCCCUCUUGGAUUCUUUCAUUUUAUGGGAGGAAUGAUUGAGAUGAGCAGAACGUUAUUUUAAAUCCUCUUCUUCGAAUGGAUUGUAAAUCACCUGUUUUCAUAACUCUGGCCAGUUGCCAUUUUACUAUGGUUAAUUCAUAGACUACUGCUAUUGACAUGUUUUUGAGGUGACCUGAAAGUCUCUACAUGUCCAUAUUUUAAUUGGUUUAGUUUGAGUUUUCAGUGGGAUGUGUUUUUGUUUUUGUUUUAAAAAGCUGGACGCUAGGUAAAGCCAGUAAAAUCAGACUUUCUUGAGCAACUACUGCAGUAGAGAAAAAGCUUGAAUGUAGAACUGAGCUCAACGCUGACCUGUGUAGAGGUGUGGAGACUGAGUGGGAGUCAGAGAGGUGGAAAAUUACAAAAAGCAGGUUGGGGGGGUGGGUAGGUCAACAUGCUUAGGCCAUGGGGGUUUGUUAAUUGGCUGUUUCGGAAGCUGGGCUUCUGCUGUCCCACAGACGCUGGGGAAUAGAGGUCCUGUCUUCAGGUGUUGGCUGGAACAAACAGUAAAUUAUUUUGUCAACUUUAGGUUUUCCCAGGUAGGAACUUAAUGGGGCUGGGCUGUCCCACAGAUGUGGCUUUGACUGGUUAGAAGCCUUG